AUGCACAAGAAGAAAGAAACUAUUCGUGCAUCAGGGAUGGAUGACUGCAUAGACCUCUGUUCUUCAUCAGAAGAGGAAGGACGAGGAGUUCCUGCAGGGAGAGUCGAGUCAGAGUCUGAUUCAGAUUCAGAAUUUGAUGCAAAUGCUGAAGGAGGAGUCGAGUCAGAGUCUGAUUCAGAAUUUGAUGAAAAUGCUGAAGGAGUUGAUUCAGAGCCUGAUUCAGAAUCUGAAAAAAAUGGUAAAGGACAUGGAGUAAAUGAUAAUGGACAUGGAAAAGGAGGAGUUCCUGGAGGGGUAGCUGAGCCAGAGUUUGAUUCAGAAAUCGGAGAGCAUGACAAAGGACUUGAAAAGAACACGUGCAUCGGUUCAAGGUGCAGCGUGAAGAAAAUGUACAACUUAAUCCAUGGAUUAGAUGAAGAGAAGAAAGGUUAUGUGAGGGAGAUUGGUUUUGGGGGCCUGCUUCUCCUGCCAAAGCUCAUGAGGACAAACCGGCACUUCCUCAUGUGGCUGCUAAGCAAAGUUGAUGAGGAAGCAAGCUCUAUCAUCACAGGUUACCGCAGGGACAUACCUUUCCAUGAUAAAGAUGUGGAAACUGUGCUGGGAAUUCCAUGUGGCGGCGCACCGGUGCAGAGUGAACAACACGGUGUUCCUGAGAAUGUGAUAGCAGCGAUCCGAAAGACUCUCGGAAUAUCCGAAUCGGAGCGCGACAUAGGUCCCGUGGUUGCAAUUGUGAAGAAGAAGGUCAGUGGCCAAAAGAUGACAAAAGCAGAAAUAUCAAAAUUCAAGAUUGCUUUUGUUAUAUGCGCGGCAACGUACCUGUUUGCCCCAACAAUGAAAAAUGACUACUUUGUGACAGAUUACUGGGGCGCGCUUACAAACCCUGACAUAAUUCAUUUGCACAAUUGGUCCGGUUACGUGAGGUCGGAGACUUUAAGAGCAGCAAAGAGGGUUAAAGCUGAUUUGCUUGGAGGUAGCAAGAAGUCUAACCUAUCUGGAUGUCUGCCGUUCAUUCAGACGUUCUAUUUGGAUAACUUGGAGGUGACCGGUGGAAAUAUCCCACACGACGAAUUCCCCAGGAUACAGUUUUACACGAUGGAGGUGAUCAACGCGAUAGUUGAAGACGACACGAGGUCACGCAAGGGAGCAGAACUUGUCACAUAUGGCCGAUUGCUGCCACGUCACGAAGCACUGGUGUGCUAUCAGAGGAACCCCGCGAACAGGAACAAUGUUGCUGGCGCAUCAAAUGUGUUUAACAGAAGCCAAUCUAGAUGCGCCGAGACCGGGUCUAUGACCAUAGAUGAGAUUGAAUCGCUAGUUAUGGAUAAGGUUUCAUCCUUCGCAACGGCUUGUGAAUAUGUUUUGACAAGUUUUUCAAGGAAGAAGGAAGAGGAGAACCAGAGGCACCAAGCUGCCUUGGCAGACCUCGAGAACCAGUCGCAGCAACAGGUCAAGAAUGAGUCCAGGAAAGUGAGAGAUCAACUGAAAAUACUGUUUGCUGGAAUUAGGCAUCAGGAUGGAGUAAGCUGGAAUAUGAAGGGAAAACGCCCUUUAUAUGAAGAUCCAGCUCCAACUGAGGAUGCUGAUGUUGGUUGCCCUAACUCCGAUAUGCCUCAAGAUAGCCAUUCAUCACCAGCUGCAGAGAUACCUGGCCAUGGAUCUGAACUGGCGCGUCUUGGUAUCAAGAGGGUAAUUAAAAGAAGAAAAGAGUGA
rnacentral:rRNA from 1 species